CGUCCUCAAAGGCCCACGGCAGGCAUGUCUGUCGUUAAAGCUCCGAGGUGGCCUGCAAGUCUGCCAGCGUUCACCGCAAUCGAUGACACCACAGCCGCAUACCACUUCUGAGCGAGCUACAACACUCCGCUGCUGCCCACGAACCCCCAGGUCUCCGAGGCUGGAUGAUGUAUGGAUUCACACAGGCUGUCAAAAGAGGCAGAGGAAGGGAAAGAUCCAGAGGAAGGGAGGCUAUUUACAGAGCUGAAGAGACAGCAAUGGGUAAGAAGUGCUGCAGUUGUUACAGUGCCUCUCUUUUUGGGCCUUUCUCUUCUUCACAUCUUUCUCCUGCUCCGCUGCUGUGAUUGCCUGUCUCCUCGUGGCCUGAUGCCCAGCCACCACUGGGUAGCAUUCCUCACCCCGAGCCAACGGGAAGAGAGGGAUCGAAAGGGGGGGGAGAAGAGACGGACAAAUGGAAGGAAUGAGAGGAGGAACCACAGUGGCUCUCCAAUGUUACAGAUCUGUGACCUCGCUGAGGAGGCGAGGAGCAAUUUCUUCUCCAAAUUGUUUGUCCUUUCCAGAUUUUUCACAGCGCCCACUGGUCAUAAACCUUCCUUUUCAGCUCCUCUGUUUAUAGUCACAUCCACUGGCUCUUAGACAGCCGCUCACUCAUUACAACACUCUCUCUCUCUCUCUCUCGGGCCACGAGAAACCCGCACAGUUUGACCACUACUAAAAUACACAUAGCAUGCAAAUACGCACGGCCGAGCUGUUCUUUUUUUUCGCAGCGGGGAAUGAAAUGCCAUAUCUUGAAGGUAACUUACGAUGCCUGCGCUGCUGCUGCUGAGGUGCAAAAAUAAAGGAUUUGCUGAGAAAGCAGAAUGGACUCCACCCUGCCCUUCAGCUCUUAUUUCUUCUGAACACUUUAGCUCACGUGUGUGUGUUAGUAUAUGAGUUUUAAGGCCUGUAGGGGCUUGUGUGUGCAGGCAGUACAGAGGAUUGUGUGUGUGUUUGUGUGAGUGUGUCCUUUGGGAGCUGCUGGCAGAUGGAGCAGUCAGACUGUGGGUAUAGAGAGAUGGUUAGAGAGUUUGGCUCAGCCUGAAAUUUAAGCCACACUGGAACACAAGAGCCACGCACACAGUCGUUUCUCUUUCAUUUCUCUCUGCUAUGUCUACUACUUCUACCUCGAUUUCUCCUGACUGGUUCAACCCAGUAUGGAUCAUCUUCUGUCUUAGCACACUUGAGUCAACACGUUUCCUAUUAUGAUUGUAUGGAUUAAAUAGAAAACCAGCUCUCUUGGGGAUUAUGGGUGUAAUGCAUUACUUUUAGUGCUGAUGCUGUGAUUUCCAAAUAAAGGUGUUCCAGGUGGUACUUGUGCAGUUGCUAGGUGGUACAUUUAAAGGCUAUGAAAAAGGAGAUUUGAAAG